UUAAAGUGUUUUGCCAAUAGAGCUUGAUGUGAACAGAGUUUUACAUGGCGCAAUAGAUACAGGGAUGCUGAGGGAAGGUGGUACAUGAUGAGCAUGUAGCCAGUUCCCAAGAAUUCCCUUUACCAGUCAGGGAUAAGUGAGUUUUGCCUCUAUAUUAAGUCACAUAAAGUUAUUUUUAUAUUCAAAUUUCUUUCACGGUGGAAAUCCCUGUUGUCUUCCUUAGGUGAUAGACAAACAGGUCUUUAAAAACCAGUCAAAGUGGAUUUCCUUAAUGGCCUUUGAAGCCAUCAUUAAGGAUGGCUCUCACAUCUCUUGGUUUGGGGUUUUUUGGAAGAGGAAAACAUUCAUUGGUAUCUGUUGUGGUGGGGAGUCAAGAAUUAGCUUUGAAUGUUGAUGAAGUCAGCAUUGUUACAGGUAUCUUCAUUAAGGUAUGCUGAGCCAGAGCCUAUUUGUUCUCUCAUCCAUAGGUUCCCUCUCUCUUUAUCAGCUGUUGUGGGGGACUUUGCUCAUGCUCAGUUCCUCAGGGUGGUGCUUAUGAGGCAGGCUCAUACCUUGGCAUAUCUGCUUGAUUCACUGGGCUUCUCUUUAUUUUCUUCUACUCUCCAGGUAAUCCUGAAUUUCCCACCAGGAAUGAGGGCAUGAUCUCCCUCACAUUCCUGCUGCGCGUUGUGGUUUGGGCAGGAAUGGUCUCUGUGUAUUCCUAUUGCUGGCAUUGGAUUAGUCAAGCUCUUAGGGAACACAGACAAGCUUCAGAAGAAAAAAACCUCAACCAUGUUUGAAGACCAUCUACAAAUAAGAAGGCCUCUAUACCAGCAGCAUCUUCCUCUGCCCUAAUGUACAGCAACCAGCUGAAGCAACAGAGGCUGAUUUCCAUAAGACCUCAUGGUCCCAUAUUCACAAAUGGUCUUUUUUUCACAAAUGCACCUUCACCACAUCCACAUGUUCACCGAGGACUGUGAUUGCCACAGUUGUCCAGCUCCAGGCCUUCAUGAGCAGCACGAGCAGCACCCUGGAUCUCCCAUCCUCUGGUGGUGCUUGGCUGAGGACAGCAGCUAUCACAAGGUGUGUGGCUGACUCAGCAGCACAGCCUUAAACCUGCUGAAUUGUCUCCAGCUGUGUGCUCUGCUUUCUGGAGAUGUCUAUAGGAUUCGUCCUCAGCAAGUGCUUUGUGUUUUGCAAUAUGCAUAGAUAGGCAAAUAUUUUUAUUCACAGAAUUAUGGAAUGGUUUGGGUUGGAAGAUCAUUUGACGAAAUAAAAAAAAGGACUAACAGUACUAAGAUACCUAACUCACCAAAUGCCAUAAAGAUCAUCUGAUGAAAUAAAAAAAGGACUAACAAUACUAAGAUGCCUACCUCACCAAAUGCCAUAAUUUUGUAGCUGCAACUUCUUUUGACUGAUUUUAGUUCUCAAUUUGUGUUACUAUACUAGUGACAAUAAAACAGUUCCUUAAGAACUGGC